AAUCCCCGGGGAGGGACCCAUGAUGAUUUCAUCAUUGCUGAUGAGGCCAUGCUCCCCUCCCCCUCCAGCUGCAGCGCCUGCCUUUCUAGGUACUUGCUGCUAGGAGAGGAGCCCCACUGGCAGCCCGGCAGCCCCUCUCACCUUGCUCUAUUUACGCCUCAGCCUAAUGCCUUGUUCCCGGGAGGAGGGCAGGCUGACCCUGGGUAGGACUCUGCUGCAGGACCGGGACAUGGCUGGAAGUGCUAGUGGAACUCUAUAGCUGCGCCAUCCAGCCUCUCUCUGCCCAUAUGCCAGCCGUCCUGCCUGCACCUCUCCUGAGGUGAAUCUGCACUGCCCCGCUACCAGCAUUCCCUUCUCUGAGCAGGAGCCCACCCUCGCAAUGAUGGAGACGCAGUCGCUGGAACGCCAGAAUGAAAGCAUGGAGCGUAACAUUGCAUUCCUGAAAAAAGGCCACAUGGAAUUACUGCAAGAUCUGCACCUGGAGAUUCUCAGACUACAAAAACAUUGUAAAGAACUGACCAUGGAGCUGGAAUCAAAGCAAAUAGAACUUUCACAGCAAGAUCAGAUUGAUCAAGAGAUGGAAGAAAAAUGUCGGAUACUAGAGGCCAGCUACCAUGAAAAGGAGCAGAUUGGCUUCAGUCUAAAAAAGGAGCUCUAUCACCGUGAGAACCGUGUGGCCGCUCUAAGAUCUAGGUUAAGAGAUAAAGAGAGAAGGUUCUUAGAAGAGGUAAAGAGAAGGAGCCAUCGAGUGACUAUUCUAAACACAGAGCUCCAAAAGCAGACUGAAGCUGCAGCAUAUCUUUCUUUCCAGCUGCACACUGCACAACAGAAACUUCACAGUGCCCAUCAGAGCUGCCAGGCUACAUGUGCCUCCCCAGCUAUCACUGUGCCGAGGCAGUCGAAUCAUGAAGUAAAAGUCAAAAACAGAAUAUAUAGAAACAGUAAUGCUGGGAAGCAGGCUUUGGCAGAUCUGCCCUGUACUUCCAUGUCAAGUGAUUCUUUUCUCAGAGAACCAGUGUGCAACCUUGAUGAUAUUGAACCUAUGCCGGACCCUGCACUCUUUUUAUACCCAAAGACAUUUGUACAUACAUCACGACAGAGACCAGAAGCCAAAUCCCAUAAAACUAUGUCAGGUCAUAACUAUGCUGACAGAAGACUUGCAACACAAUGGCCUGAAGGCCUAUCCACACAAGAUGAUGACACGCCUUCCACCAUUCCGAUCGUCAAAGCAAAACUCCCAAGAACAGAACGAGGCAAACGUCGUGCUGUGGCCCGGCAAGAAUUAAGAGAUUCGGAAUAAUGCAUCAGAAACUAUUACAGUGUUUAUACUGAUGAAGCUUGCACUCUGGAAAAAACUUGUGAUUCCAGGUGUCCAUGUGCUGUACGGAUAUUAUAGGCUAUUUUUAUUAUUGUCUUCCUGAGUUUGAUAUUUUUCUUACCAAAUGUACAUGGUAAGAAUAUGAAGGCCACCCGCGAGCAGCAGAAAGCACUUCCAAUAUUAUUAUAGCGGAACUGAACCGUCUUCUGCUAAAGUUCUAUUUUUAUAUAGCCUCACUGCUGGUGAGAGUUGCUUAACCUCAUGCAUGAAAUGAGGACAAUGUUUGUUCUAGUUGAUCUCCCAUAUCAAAUGUUAUAUAGUCGUUUGUAGAUCACGCAGGCAAAACAAGAAACUUGGCACUAACCUAUGCAGCCCCUUUUUACACUAUAGCUGUGCUGAUUGCACCAUUGUCUACAACAUGUGUUGCCCAAUGGUCUUAAUUAUUGGACACUUGAGAUCCUUUAGCUGCUUGAGGUCCUUGAGUUACAGGAUUUAUUGACUCAUAAGUCAUCAUUUUCAGGGUAAGCUAAAAUUGUUAGGAAUGUUUUAAAUACAUUCUUUUGCAGGGAACAGAUUGGAGAGAUCUGUAGAUUUUUAAUUGGAUGAAUGAUGCUAAAAUGUAUAACGUAAAAGCUGUCUGGUGUGAGGAAUGGUGGAACUAGGUGAAUGGGUGUUUAAGAUUUUUUUUUUUAAAGUACAGAAAGAUGUUUUAUUUAUUUUUACAACUACUACAGUAAAAAUAUGUAUUCAAGUUUUUGUCCAAUUUGGACAACUGCAAAAUAAUGAGCUGGAUUCUCAGUUGCUAUAUCUCCGUUAUUGUAAUGAAGGAAGUUUUAGUGUAUACCAAAGUAAUUUUUGAAUCACUACAAAGCUAAGGAACCAUUUCCAAAGCUGUUUCUAUAGCAUUAACAUCUGCAAUCAAAAUGGUCCAACAAUCUGACCACUGAUUGGCUAGAUAACCGCAUGAUCAUGUGUUGACUCAUUAUUAUACUGCUUCAUUAACUGCCAUAAUUGCCUAGUAUAACCCUUAACACUGUUAAGGACAUUGUUUCUUUGAGUAAUUUAGCAAUGUUCUACAGUACCUCUUUUCUUCCAUUAUUGCCACUGUGGUAACUAUAUUCUACACCUAACCCUUCUGUAGGUCUUUACUAGAUGUCAGUAUACAUGCAGCUGGUGCCAUUUUUUGACUUGGCAACCUGGAACUGCCUGGGCAGUGAUGCCAUUGCAAUGACCCACUUUUUUAUGCUGUCCAUGUUUACAGCGGGGGCAGACCCACUUAAUGGGUAAGAAUUCUAAGGCUAAACUUUAGCUACCUUCAACAUCUGACCCACAUAUUCAACAUUUAACUAAUGUUGAUUAGGGCUGCACAUUCAUUUCUCCAAUGAGUAUGAUUGCUACAUUCCUCUGUAUUACCAAACUUUCUACUUUCCAGAUCAGCCAAGAAAUAAUAUUGUAAAAGCCAUAGGUCUAUGUAUCUGGUAUACAGCAACAAGCAGCAGUGAUUGGCCGAGCUCAAAUAGUAAACGUAACCAGCAGUUCUGAGGUUUCCUUCGCUUCCCUUCUGAUAAAUGCCAGAUUCGCUGGGCCAUGCCAGGUAGGCCACUUCAACAAAACCUACAAAGUUUCACUGUGGUUUGGGCUAUUUCCACACGGGAUGAAUUAGCCCAGAGGACACGCAACAUGUAGCAGUUCAUCUGCAUUUGGCAUUUCAGGGUUGUUCACCUACUCAGCUUCGCAUCAGAUGUAUCACCUUAUUCUCAUCUCUUUAUGGCCCUUACACAUGGUGUUAUUUCCAUGCAGUGGAUUUUUUGUAUGUUUGUUCAUUUGGAUCAAUUAACCCCUGUUCUGCUAUAAGAGGGAACACACAGAAAAUCUAUUAAUUUCACUUGGGGCCACUGCAAGGUAUGUACCUAAACCAGGCUCGAACUGGAAUUCAAAAUAGGCCCUGGCAUUUCAAGUACACAGAGCCCCAAACAGCCACUAUAGACCCAAUAAAUAGUGACUGACGAUGGCAUCUUACAGCAGCCCCUCUGGCAUUUGCCAGACCCCACAGAUUUCCAGUUUGGGUCUGACCUAAACUUACACCAUUGUGUUCCAUUUGCCAUUACUGGGAACUCACGUCUCACUUGAUCGCAUUACCUAUUUACCUAUUUAUUGCACAGAAGUGUGAUGGUGGCAGCCUAGGAGGUUAUGCCUCUUAAACAAUUAUUGAUCCUUAUGGUAAGGGAUCCCAAGUACUAUUUUAAAGCUAUACACACUAUAAUAAUAAUACAUUUAGAGUUGCUUCCUUUGGGCAGAUAAAAUGCUGGAUAACUAACACUAUUCGAAGACUUUCAAGUAAUAGAAUAAAGUCAGGAAAAUAAAUGCUCUCCUGUCCAGAAGUGACUGUGCCUUGUUCAGUGCAUUUCUUAGGUACCAAUAUGCAUUCAUUACAUGUUCUUCUCUAUCAUGCUUCUCAAGUACAGUGGUGUGUAUGAUCAUUUCUUAUUUUGCUUUAUGCAUUUGAAAUAAGAAUAAAAGCUUUUAUUAUAGAU